CCCAGAACGACACGUUUGGCUACGAGCACCUUGGUACAAUGCUCCCAUGUUUGAUACAUAUGCAACUUCCUAUUACAAAGCUGAAAAUGGUCAAGCAUUGAUGAAAACACUGUGCAGAAUUCCUAUCCUGAAUGAAGGUGCUGCUUGGAGAAGGCUUCUGCUUCUGGAGAUGACCUGACAGGAUUCAGCCUGUUCCAUGUUCUCUUGGGGAGUUCUGCUGGCUGCUGCUGUCACUGCUGCCAGACUGGCGGCGGCGUCUCCUGCCUUUUAUCAGGACACUCCGGUACACCUGCAGGGAGACAAGAGCAGCACAGCACCUGUGAGUGAUGCGCAGUUGCGCAGUCUGGAAGCAACUGUCUGCACCAUACAUCUGCUUUUAGAACACUAUUUGACAUCACAUUGUUUUCUAUAUGGGAAAAUGCAGGCAGCUUCCUACCUGUCAUCCAGUAGGUACUGUUGAUGGAGGUUGUAAGUGAAGAUAAGUUAAAUUACAGGAAUGGUCACAGUUUGCCCAUUAUUGGCUGUUACGGUGGCGGUUGCUACUGUAACCAAUGUCUGGCCAGGCACUGGAGUUACUGAC